AUUGAACGCUGGCGGCAUGCCUAACACAUGCAAGUCGAACGGCAGCACGGCAGUAGCAAUACUGUGGGUGGCGAGUGGCGGACGGGUGAGGAAUACGUCGGAAUCUGCCCAGUCGUGGGGGAUAACUAGCCGAAAGGUUAGCUAAUACCGCAUACGACCGAGAGGUGAAAGCGGGGGACCGCAAGGCCUCGCGCGAUUGGAUGAGCCGACGUCGGAUUAGCUAGUUGGAGGGGUAAAGGCCCACCAAGGCGACGAUCCGUAGCUGGUCUGAGAGGAUGAUCAGCCACA
rnacentral:rRNA from 1 species